GGUAUGCUUAACACAUGCAAGUCGAACGGUGUCUUCGGACAUAUGUUUUACGGGUGAGUAACGCGUGAGAAUCUAGCUUCAGGUCUGGGACAACCACUGGAAACGGUGGCUAAUACCGGAUGUGCCGGAAGGUGAAAGGCUUGCUGCCUGAAGAUGAGCUCGCGUCCGAUUAGCUAGUAGGUGGGGUAAGAGCCUACCUAGGCGACGAUCGGCAGCUGGCCUGAGAGGAUGACCACCCACACUGGGACUGAGACACGGCCCAUACUCCUACGGGAGGCAGCAGUGGGGAAUUUUCCGCAAUGGGCGAAAGCCUGACGGAGCAAUACCGCGUGAGGGAGGAAGGCUCUUGGGUUGUAAACCUCUUUUCUCAGGGAAGAACACAAUGACGGUACCUGAGGAAUCAGCAUCGGCUAACUCCGUGCCAGCAGCCGCGGUAAUACGGAGGAUGCAAGCGUUAUCCGGAAUGAUUGGGCGUAAAGCGUCCGCAGGUGGCUGUGUAAGUCUGCUGUCAAAGAGCAAAGCUCAACUUUGUAAAGGCAGUGGAAACUACACGGCUAGAGUGCGUUCGGGGCAGAGGGAAUUCCUGGUGUAGCGGUGAAAUGCGUAGAGAUCAGGAAGAACACCGGUGGCGAAGGCGCUCUGCUAGGCCGCAACUGACACUGAGGGACGAAAGCUAGGGGAGCGAAUGGGAUUAGAUACCCCAGUAGUCCUAGCUGUAAACGAUGGAU
rnacentral:rRNA from 1 species